rnacentral:rRNA from 1 species
ACGCACAUUGCGCCCGCCAGUAUUCUGGCGGGCAUGCCUGUCUGAGCGUCAUUUCAACCCUCAUGCCCCUAGGGCGUGGUGUUGGGGAUCGGCCAAAGCCCGCGAGGGACGGCCGGCCCCUAAAUCUAGUGGCGGACCCGUCGUGGCCUCCUCUGCGAAGUAGUGAUAUUCCGCAUCGGAGAGCGAUGAGCCCCCGCCGUUAAACCCCCAACUUUCCAAGGUUGACCUCAGAUCAGGUAGGAAUACCCGCUGAACUUAAGCAUAUCAAUAAGCGGAGGAAAAGAAACCAACAGGGAUUGCCCUAGUAACGGCGAGUGAAGCGGCAACAGCUCAAAUUUGAAAUCUGGCGCAAGCCCGAGUUGUAAUUUGUAGAGGAUGUUUCUGGCGACGUGCCUUCCGAGUUCCCUGGAACGGGACGCCAUAGAGGGUGAGAGCCCCGUACGGUUGGAUGCCUAGCCUCUGUGAAACUCCUUCGACGAGUCGAGUAGUUUGGGAAUGCUGCUCUAAAUGGGAGGUAUACGUCUUCUAAAGCUAAAUACCGGCCAGAGACCGAUAGCGCACAAGUAGAGUGAUCGAAAGAUGAAAAGCACUUCGAAAAGAGGGUUAAAAAGUACGUGAAAUUGUUGAAAGGGAAGCGUUCAUGACCAGACUUGAGCAGGUUGAUCAUCCGUGGUUCUCCGCGGUGCACUCUGCCUGCUCAGGCCAGCAUCAGUUCGUUCCGGGGGAUAAAGGCUCUGGGAAUGUGGCUCCCUCGGGAGUGUUAUAGCCCACUGCGUAA